rnacentral:rRNA from 1 species
UACGGAGGGGGCUAGCGUUGUUCGGAAUCACUGGGCGUAAAGGGCGCGUAGGCGGCUUUAUAAGUCGGGGGUGAAAGCCUGUGGCUCAACCGCAGAAUUGCCUUCGAUACUGUAGAGCUUGAGACCGGAAGAGGUAAGUGGAACUGCGAGUGUAGAGGUGAAAUUCGUAGAUGUUCGCAAGAACACCAGUGGCGAAGGCGGCUUACUGGUCCGGUUCUGACGCUGAGGCGCGAAAGCGUGGGGAGCAAACAGG